rnacentral:rRNA from 1 species
GACGAACGCUGGCGGCGUGCUUAACACAUGCAAGUCGAACGGAAAGGCCCUGCUUUUGUGGGGUGCUCGAGUGGCGAACGGGUGAGUAACACGUGAGUAACCUGCCCUUGACUUUGGGAUAACUUCAGGAAACUGGGGCUAAUACCGGAUAGGAGCUCCUGCUGCAUGGUGGGGGUUGGAAAGUUUCGGCGGUUGGGGAUGGACUCGCGGCUUAUCAGCUUGUUGGUGGGGUAGUGGCUUACCAAGGGUUUGACGGAUAGCCGGCCUGAGAGGGUGGCCGGCGACAUUGGGACUGAGAGACGGCGCAGACUCCUACGGGAGGCAGCAGUGGGGAAUAUUGCACAAUGGGCGGAAGCCUGAUGCAGCAACGCCGCGUGCGGGAUGACGGCCUUCGGGUUGUAAACCGCUUUCGCAUGUGACGAAGCGUGAGUGACGGUAAUGGGUAAAGAAGCACCGGCUAACUACGUG